rnacentral:rRNA from 1 species
UACGAAGGGCGCUAGCGUUGUUCGGAAUCACUGGGCGUAAAGCGCGCGUAGGCGGCCAUUCAAGUCAGGGGUGAAAUCCCGGGGCUCAACCCCGGAAUUGCCUUUGAAACUGUAUGGCUGGAGUGUCGGAGGGGAUAGCGGAAUUCCUAAUGUAGAGGUGAAAUUCGUAGAUAUUAGGAGGAACACCGGUGGCGAAGGCGGCUAUCUGGACGACAACUGACGCUGAGGCGCGAAAGCGCGGGGAUCAAACAGG